CAUCAACACAAGAAGCGACCGUACCGCACACCGACACAGGUGGUCAGCUCGAGUAGAGUAAGACGAACGAGUAAGAUGUCCUCAAGGAACUCGGCAAAAAAGCGGCCGUAAGUUAGCGAUAAGGCCUGCCCGUAGGUAGCUGCCAACACUAAGCUCCCAACUCACAACUGAAUUCAAUCCAGAAUUGGUUGUUUGUUAGAGGUUUUGUGUUGGUAGUUGCUUUGCGGGCCGCAGUGAAUGUUUUUCUGCCAACUGUUUACCAAAAACACAGCUCCCUGCAAACUCGUAAGAGGAAGUAUAGGGGGUGACACCUGACCAAUGCCGGAAGGUCAACCAUGGUGGGUGUGCAUCUCACAGAGUUUCGAUGCACCGCGGAACUCGCAGAACGAACGCAGAAUCACGCAGAAGAAUUUCUUCCGCGACCGUCUGCGUUAAGUCUGCGAUUGUCUGCGGCACCGAAGUUUUGUGAGGUGCAUGCUGGACUAUGUAAGCCCCGGUGAAUGUCGGCGAUAACUAUAAUCGUUAACCGUAAGGUUGGGCGAUUGUAAAAUCCGACCAUAUGCUGGAACCGCUGUCCCCGCCAAAAGGGGUGAAGUAUCCGACGCUACCGAGUAGGUAAAAAUGCGUUCGGUGCAG
rnacentral:rRNA from 1 species